rnacentral:rRNA from 1 species
GACGAACGCUGGCGGCGUGCCUAAUACAUGCAAGUCGAACGCAGUGGGGACGGGUGAGUAACCCGUGGGUAACCUCCCAUCAGAGGGGAUAACACUUGGAAACAGGUGCUAAACCGAUACUGAUGGAUGAACCCGCGGUGCAUUAGCUAGUUGGUGAGGUAACGGCUCACCAAGGCCACGAUGCAUAGCCGACCUGAGAGGUGGGUCAGCCAAACUGGGACUGAUGCACGGCAGAGACUCCUACGGGGGGUAGGAGUGGGGAAUGUGCGGCAAUGGACGAAAUGCUGGCCGAGCAACGCCGCGGGAGUGAAGAGGGUUUUCGGAGCGUAAAACUCUGUUGUUAGAGAAGCGGUAUCUAACCAGAAAGCCACGGCUAACUACGUGCCAGCAGCCGCGGUAAUAC